AAAAAAAAAGCUCUUUCAUUGAGUUUUGUUUUGGAGAAGGUAGAAGAAGAUCGAUGAACAAUCCCACAAGCCUCAAUCCCUCUUCUUCUCUACACUAUACAUCUUUAAUCCAUCUUCUAGGAUUAGAGAGAAAGAGAUGGGUUGUUGUUGAAGAUGAAGAUCAUGGGUCACUAUGUUUGAAGAAGAUGAAGAUGAAAGAGGGUUUGAUGAACUUUGAAUAAUGAGAUGAAGAUUUAAGGGUUAAAUAUUUUUUGUUUUAUAAAAAUUAGUUUGUGUUUUUUUUUUGAAGCAAAAAAAAAAUUAGUUUUUUUAAAAAAAAAAAUUAAUAGGUAAUAUAUUUAUCUAUAUGUCAAUAAUUAAAUUAAUAAAAAAUAAAUUAAAAUCCACACAUGCAUGCCAUGUCAUAAAAAAAAUAAGAUUCCAUGUCCAGUUGGCACUUAGGGGGGUAAACGAUGGAAUCUUGGUAUUACAGGGGGGUGAUCACAAUUAUUUUUUUUGCAGGGGGGUAAGACAAAACUCUCAUAUUUUGCAGGGGGUAAAACCCUAUUUACCCU